rfam:Echinococcus multilocularis genomic scaffold, pathogen_EMT_contig_0402
AGUGGGGGCUCAGGCAGGUGAGGCGGUUCACCAGGCCGGCUCAGGAGUCGGGUUGUUUGAGAUUGCAGCCCAAAGUGGGUGGUAAACUCCAUCCAAGGCUAAAUACAGGCACGAGUCCGAUAGCGGACAAGUACCGUGAGGGAAAGUUGAAAAGUACUCUGAAGAGAGAGUAAAGAGUGCGUGAAACCGCGUGCAGGUAAGCGGGUGGCGUCAAGCUGCUAGCCGGGAGGACUCAGCUGGCUGCAGUGUAGUGUGCGCGCCUAGUGCGUCACCGUUAAUGGGCCGGGGAGAGGCGGUGGUCUGCUCCUUGUGGGGGAGCGGAGCAUGACUGCGAUCGCGGGCCACUGUUUCGCCUUCACCACGCCGCCGCCUAUUCUAUCUGUCUGUCUGCCCAUCUAUCUAUCUGUCCGCCUGUGUGCGCCCAUCUCUGCUGAGGUGGGUGGGCUGGUGGAUGGGUGGGUGGGUGGGUGGGUGCGUGCGUGAAUAUGCGGAGGGCGGGGUGGUGUGAGUGGUCGGUGGAUGCGAGGUUGUGGUCUGUGCUAUGCGUGUCGGACGGGCGCCGGAGCAUGCCACUCGCCCGUGGGCCUUGCAGUCAGUGCACUUUCUCCGUGGCGAACACCACGACCGGUGGGGUUGCCAGUCUGCCGUGGUCGAGUCGUGCCCACCUGGUAGUCCUUCUCCUCCUCCUCCUCCUCCUCCUGCUCCUGCUCCCCGUCGCUCGAUUGGUCGGUGAGUUGGCUUCACCGCUGACUGGCUGGCUGGCCGGCCGGCCGGCUGACGGACAGGUGGGUGGGGUGGAUGGGUCAGGUGGGCAGGAUCGCGGAUAGGUGAGCGGACGGCGCGGUGGUGCUGCGGUGUUGCCGCGUGCUAUCGUGCGCUUCCUGUCAACGAGCUGCUGUUGUCUGCUGUGCUGUGACCGCACUGUUGGUGGCUUGGCGGGCUGCGGUGGUGUAGGUGACUGUGCAGGGCAUCGGUUUUAUCCGCCUCAUUCGCUCGCUCGUUCGUUCGUCUCCUCGAAUGCACGAGCGGUAAGGGUGCCCGGCACGCACGUCACAGGUGCAGUGGAGCGGGGCGCGCGGCUGUUGGUCGGCGUGGGGCGUGGCUGCCGUGUUGCCUGCAGAAUGCGGGCUCGCCGGUGGUCCGUCGUCGCGUGUCACGGUGGGCGGCUUCGCGUUGCCUCGAGUGCAUGGGGUACCGGGGGUGGGAUAGUCGGUGGUGCGGUGGUAGACUAGCCACCUGACCCGUCUUGAAACACGGACCAGGGAGUUUAACAUGUGUGCGAGUCAAAGGGUGUGCUCGAGACCCCGAGGCGUAGUGAAAGUGAAGUCUGCGUCGUACGCGCGCGGUGCGAUGCGGCGAGGUGAGAUCCUGCUGUUGGCGUGCGGCCGGCCAGGCCAGGCUGGUGCGGGCGGCCUAUGGAGCAGUGGGCGCAUCACCGGCCCGUCCCAUGGUGUGGUCACUGGUGUGCGUUGGCGUGGUCGCGUGUGUCUGUGGCUGCGUCAGCUGGGCAGCCAGUGCGUCAUCGGGGCGGAGCGUGAGCAUGCAUGUUGAGACCCGAAAGAUGGUGAACUAUGCUUGCGUAGGUUGAAGCCAGAGGAAACUCUGGUGGAGGACCGUAGCGAUUCUGACGUGCAAAUCGAUCGUCAAACGUGAGUAUAGGGGCGAAAGACUAAUCGAACCGUCUAGUAGCUGGUUCCCUCCGAAGUUUCCCUCAGGAUAGCUGGCACUCAUUAGCAUUUGGCGUCACCAUGACUGAGGAAUGUGAAAUUGGGAAAAUUACAUUCCACUGACAAAGGACAUAGAUAAAUGACUUAAAAAGAGGUUUUCUCAUCUCUUUCCAGCUCUCUCUCCUCCUUCCAGAGGACAU